GACGAACGCUGGCGGCGUGCUUAACACAUGCAAGUCUAGGGGGCCCGCAAGGGUCACCGGCGAACGGGUGCGUAACACGUGAGCGACCUACCCUGGAAUGGGGGAUAGCCGGCCCAACGGCCGGGUAAUACCGCAUACGCUCUUCGAGCUGCAUGGCUUGGAGAGGAAACCUUUUGGGUUCCUGGGGGGGCUCGCGGCCUAUCAGCUAGUUGGUGAGGUAACGGCUCACCAAGGCAAUGACGGGUAGCUGGUCUGAGAGGAUGGCCAGCCACAUUGGGACUGAGAAACGGCCCAGACUCCUACGGGAGGCAGCAGUGGGGAAUAUUGCGCAAUGGUCGAAAGACUGACGCAGCGACGCCGCGUGGAGGAUGACGCCCUUCGGGGUGUAAACUCCUGUUGCUCGGGACGAACCUCCCCAUUCGUGGGGACUGACGGUACCGGGUGAGGAAGCACCGGCUAACUCUGUGCCAGCCGCCGCGGUAACAC
rnacentral:rRNA from 1 species